rnacentral:lncRNA from 1 species
GAGGAAGGAUCUGCGCCUGCGCCGAGGCCAGAAAGGCUGAGACAGGGCUCCUAAAUGGAAAGGCACUCUCAGCCAGAUGGAGUUUAGCUGAGUGCAGAGGAUUUAUGAGAACACAAUAGCACAGAUUGCUGAAGGACAGAACGGUCGGAGUGGGACUAGGAGCCUGGAGCGGGGGCGGGGACUUGAACAUUCCAGGCUCUGUGAACUAAGUGACUGAAGCUGAUUGACACAGGUCAAGGGGACUUCAAGGAAGAAAGCCAGCCUUAGACUGACAUCAGAGAACCAAACUCCGGUGUCUAAGCUCAAGAGGUUAGAAUCCUGAGAACUGUUUGGAAUAAGGAAUCCAAAUAUUGUCUUCCAGCUUCACCUUGUCACGACAGUCCUCGCCAGGGACAGCUGAGGAUGGAAACCAGCCCUGCACACUGCUGGCUCUGGAGGCCUGGUAGAUUAACAGGCACCGGACUUACAAUUGGUCUCUUAAGCCUUUCAACUCUUUAGAAGCAAAGGGGAAGGCAUGGAGGGUGCCAUGAAAUCAAAGACAUUGUUCGUAAGCUCCUGGAUCUUAUCAGUGUGAGGAAGUGUUCAAAAAAGUUCUGUCCCCCCUAGAGACAAAAAGACCUCUUCUCUGCCUCCCAGCUCCCAUGGCGCCUCUCUCGAUACGUGGCCUCUUCUGAUACUUACCUCAGCUUGGACACAGCUCUCUGAAGAUCAUCUACAUCUCCAUUUAUGCCGUGUGCACGCAGUACCAACAGAGGUCAGAGGAGGGUGUCGGAUCCCCUGGAACUGGAGUCACAGAUUCUUCCUUGCGUGGAUGAAACAGUCCCAACGAACACUUUAAAAAGACAAAUGUUCCCGACAGCACUGGUUGAAUUCAAAACUCGGCAGAUCCAUGUUCUUAUCCUUAGACAAGAGAGGGGCCAUAACAAGAUGGAAUGACGGAACAGACGUGAGAGAUGAUGGUACAGUGACUCGGGUAACCCCAGAAAAGGGACAGCUCUUCUACAGCUCAGUGGGGACAGGGACAAAAAGAAACAAUUUCAUUUCAGUCCACCCAGAGGGUCUGCACUUCUCGGAGCCAGAAGGUGGAGAAGAGUAGGGAUGGAGGAAGUUCGAAGUUUUAGGAGUCUGCUCUUGGGUCCCUAGGCAUGAGGACAAGCUUUUCCUGUACUCAAUGCUCAUCUCUCAGUUGUGCCCACAUUGGUACACAUUACUUGCUUUCAACUGCUGCUGCUGCUGUUUCCUAAUUCAAUAAAGAUAUGGCUGGCUCAGCAGAGAGCUGUCAUCCA